rnacentral:rRNA from 1 species
CGGGUGAGGAACGCGUAGGUAAUCUACCCUUUGGCGGGGGACAACAUUCCGAAAGGAAUGCUAAUACCGCGUAAGACCACGCUCACUACGGUGAAAGUGGUUAAAGGUGCCUCAAAGCACCACCAAAGGAUGAGCCUGCGUCCCAUCAGCUUGUUGGUAAGGUAAUGGCUUACCAAGGCGAAGACGGGUAGCUGGUCUGAGGGGAUGAUCAGCCACACUGGCACUGGAACACGGGCCAG